rnacentral:rRNA from 1 species
CAUUUAUACAGUGAAACUGCGAAUGGCUCAUUAAAUCAGUUAUCGUUUAUUUGAUAGUACCUUUACUACUUGGAUAACCGUGGUAAUUCUAGAGCUAAUACAUGCUAAAAAUCCCGACUGUUUGGAAGGGAUGUAUUUAUUAGAUAAAAAAUCAAUGCUCUUUGAGCUCUUUGAUGAUUCAUAAUAACUUUUCGAAUCGCAUGGCCUUGUGCUGGCGAUGGUUCAUUCAAAUUUCUGCCCUAUCAACUUUCGAUGGUAGGAUAGUGGCCUACCAUGGUUUCAACGGGUAACGGGGAAUAAGGGUUCGAUUCCGGAGAGGGAGCCUGAGAAACGGCUACCACAUCCAAGGAAGGCAGCAGGCGCGCAAAUUACCCAAUCCCGACACGGGGAGGUAGUGACAAUACAUAACGAUACAGGGCCCUUUCGGGUCUUGUAAUUGGAAUGAGUACAAUGUAAAUACCUUAACGAGGAACAAUUGGAGGGCAAGUCUGGUGCCAGCAGCCGCGGUAAUUCCAGCUCCAAUAGCGUAUAUUAAAGUUGUUGCAGUUAAAAAGCUCGUAGUUGAACUUUGGGCUUGGUUGGCCGGUCCGCCUUUUUGGCGAGUACUGGACCCAACCGAGCCUUUCCUUCUGGCUAACCAUUCGCCCUUGUGGUGUUUGGCGAACCAGGACUUUUACUUUGAAAAAAUUAGAGUGUUCAAAGCAGGCCUUUGCUCGAAUAUAUUAGCAUGGAAUAAUAGAAUAGGACGUUAUGGUUCUAUUUUGUUGGUUUCUAGGACCAUCGUAAUGAUUAAUAGGGACGGUCGGGGGCAUCAGUAUUCAGUUGUCAGAGGUGAAAUUCUUAGAUUUACUGAAGACUAACUACUGC